UGCCAGCCGCCGCGGUAAUACGGAGGGUGCAAGCGUUGUUCGGAAUUAUUGGGCGUAAAGCGCGUGUAGGCGGUUCGUUAAGUCUGAUGUGAAAGCCCGGGGCUCAACCCCGGAAGUGCAUUGGAAACUGGCGAACUUGAGGAUAGGCGGAGAAAACGGAACUCCACAUGUAGCGGUGAAAUGCGUAGAUAUGUGGAAGAACACCCGUGGCGAAAGCGGUUUUCUAGCUUAUUCCUGACGCUCAGGCCCGAAAGCUAGGGGAGCAAACAGGAUUAGAUA
rnacentral:rRNA from 1 species